rnacentral:sRNA from 14 species
GGAUAUGAGGUGAUGGGGCUCUGUCUGUCACCUCAGCGAUGUAAGGGUUGACCUGCUGAGCUGGCUGGCAGGGGGAGCAGCCUCACUUUCCCUCAUAGUUCCGUGUACACCACAGCAGAGCUGAGCACCACAGGACUGCUUUCCUGGGGAAGGAUAAAGGUGCUGCGCUCCUUGACUAGAGCCUCCAAGCUCUCACAGUGCAGAUUUGCUUUGCUGGGAGUUUAGCCAGGCGAGUUAUCAUCGCAUUUGUUUCCUGCUGGUUUUGAGAAAGGGUUUCUCUAUGUAGCUUA